rnacentral:rRNA from 1 species
GAUGAACGCUGGCGGCGUGCCUAAUACAUGCAAGUCGAGCGAACAGACGAGGAGCUUGCUCCUCUGACGUUAGCGGCGGACGGGUGAGUAACACGUGGAUAACCUACCUAUAAGACUGGGAUAACUUCGGGAAACCGGAGCUAAUACCGGAUAAUAUAUUGAACCGCAUGGUUCAAUAGUGAAAGACGGUUUUGCUGUCACUUAUAGAUGGAUCCGCGCCGCAUUAGCUAGUUGGUAAGGUAACGGCUUACCAAGGCGACGAUGCGUAGCCGACCUGAGAGGGUGAUCGGCCACACUGGAACUGAGACACGGUCCAGACUCCUACGGGAGGCAGAAGUAGGGAAUCUUCCGCAAUGGGCGAAAGACUGACGGAGCAACGCCGCGUGAGUGAUGAAGGUCUUCGGAUCGUAAAACUCUGUUAUUAGGGAAGAACAAUUGUGUAAGUAACUAUGCACGUCUUGACGGUACCUAAUCAGAAAGCAACGGCUAACUACGUG